rnacentral:rRNA from 1 species
GAUGAACGCUGGCGGCGUGCCUAAUACAUGCAAGUCGAGCGAACAGAUAAGGAGCUUGCUCCUUUGACGUUAGCGGCGGACGGGUGAGUAACACGUGGGUAACCUACCUAUAAGACUGGAAUAACUCCGGGAAACCGGGGCUAAUGCCGGAUAACAUGUUGAACCGCAUGGUUCUACAGUGAAAGGCGGCUUUGCUGUCACUUAUAGAUGGACCCGCGCCGUAUUAGCUAGUUGGUGAGGUAACGGCUCACCAAGGCAACGAUACGUAGCCGACCUGAGAGGGUGAUCGGCCACACGGGAACUGAGACACGGUCCAGACUCCUACGGGAGGCAGCAGUAGGGAAUCUUCCGCAAUGGGCGAAAGCCUGACGGAGCAACGCCGCGUGAGUGAUGAAGGUCUUCGGAUCGUAAAACUCUGUUAUUAGGGAAGAACAAAUGCGUAAGUAACUGUGCGCGUCUUGACGGUACCUAAUCAGAAAGCCACGGCUAACUACGUG